CGUCUAGAUUAUAUUUUUCUAUGAGAACUCCAGCCAAAAGUACUACAGUCGAAAGCAAGCCGCGGAGAAUGAAUGAGGAUCAUCGCCUCAAGGUACAUGAUAUGCCAUCUUCAGAGGGUGAAUUUAAAGGGUUAUUUAAUGUUUGGUACCCAACAAAUGACCAACACAUUGAUUUGGUACCCAACAUUGGUACCUAGACCCGUCAUUGACUGUUAGGUCAACGCGUAGACCAUAAAAAGUUGUAACUUCUGUAACUGAACUUCAAGUAUUUCAUUAUUAGACUUAAGAAUGGUAUAAAUGACUAAGAUUUUCCUAACGUCCGGUUAGUGAUCACGUCUUCAUUUAUACGUAUCACAAAAAUAAACAACCACGAUUAAUUUAGUCUAACUAUUAAAACUCAUUUAUUCUUAUAUCUAGCCUAAAUCAGUUAUUAUUGCCGGAAAACUGGACAUAGGAGAGUGUGUUAGGGUUUGUAAACAUGAAUAGGGGAUUCAAGCGAUUUUCGUCAGAUUUAUCUAUUUAAAUCUUAGGGUUUCGCUAGAUCUACUAGUGUUUAAGUUGGGUAUCAUCAUAUUUGGGAUUCGAAGACAAAAUCAAGACAGUUUCAAGGCUAAUCGAGAAGCAAAAUUUGAAGCAGAUUGUAUUUCUAUCUUCAAUGUUUUACUAUAAUGUAAGUGGAGAUCCGUGUAUUAUAGUUGAAGAUUCUCGGUCUUUCUUUCCUACAUCA